UGUUGUCUUUGUGUUUGGAUAUUAUGUGCAUGCAUUUUCUUGUAGGACCAUGGCUGAAGGAGGUGGAAAACCUUUGAAAAGCACUACGAGGCCAUUAGCAAGAUGCUAUCUCAAAGUGGAUUUGGGUGGGAUUGGGUCAAUAACAAGCUGUCAAUUGAUAGUGAAGAUGUGUGGCUUAAAUAUGUCGCGGCUAACAAGAAAGUAGGAUUUUACAAGAACAGGGUCAUUAAGAAUUGGGAUGCUAUCACCACCAUAUACUCAAAAGAUCAUGCAAAUGGUGAAGGUGCUGUCACUGGUGCUGAAACUGUUGUAGAACCAACUACGGAACCCAAUGAAGCCUCUCCUGAAGUGCCACAAAAAAAACAACGAACUAGUGAUGCCAUCCUGUGCCUUCUUGGGGAUAUGAAAGGCUCAUUUCAUGAUGCUUUGAAGUCACUCGAGCCUUUACCUCUGCCCCAAGUUACACCUCCUGCUGAAAUCCUUGCGACACUUGAGAUGAUCCCUGAUCUAGCUCGUGGUGACAUCUUGCGAUCUUAUGGUAAGUUGAUCCUUAGCGAACGCUUGUACCAAGCGCUUCUUGAGCUUCCCAUGAACUUCAGGAAGGAAUGGUUGUUGAUGUUGAAUUAG
rnacentral:rRNA from 1 species